AGUGAACGCUGGCGGCGUGCCUAAUACAUGCAAGUCGAACGAUGAAGCUCUAGCUUGCUAGAGUGGAUUAGUGGCGCACGGGUGAGUAAUGCAUAGAUAACAUGCCCUUUAGUCUAGGAUAGCCAUUGGAAACGAUGAUUAAUACUGGAUACUCCUUACGAGGGAAAGUUUUUCGCUAAAGGAUUGGUCUAUGUCCUAUCAGCUUGUUGGUGAGGUAAUGGCUCACCAAGGCUAUGACGGGUAUCCGGCCUGAGAGGGUGAACGGACACACUGGAACUGAGACACGGUCCAGACUCCUACGGGAGGCAGCAGUAGGGAAUAUUGCUCAAUGGGGGAAACCCUGAAGCAGCAACGCCGCGUGGAGGAUGAAGGUUUUCGGAUUGUAAACUCCUUUUGUUAGAGAAGAUAAUGACGGUAUCUAACGAAUAAGCACCGGCUAACUCCGUGCCAGCAGCCGCGGUAAUACGGAGGGUGCAAGCGUUACUCGGAAUCACUGGGCGUAAAGAGCGCGUAGGCGGGAUAGCAAGUCAGAUGUGAAAUCCUAUGGCUUAACCAUAGAACUGCAUUUGAAACUGUUAUUCUAGAGUAUGGGAGAGGUAGGUGGAAUUCUUGGUGUAGGGGUAAAAUCCGUAGAGAUCAAGAGGAAUACUCAUUGCGAAGGCGACCUGCUAGAACAUAACUGACGCUGAUGCGCGAAAGCGUGGGGAGCAACAGGAUUAGAUACCCUGGUAGUCCACGCCCUAAACGAUGAAUGCUAGUUGUUGUGGAGCUUGUCUCUGCAGUAAUGCAGCUAACGCAUUAAGCAUUCCGCCUGGGGAGUACGGUCGCAAGAUUAAAACUCAAAGGAAUAGACGGGGACCCGCACAAGCGGUGGAGCAUGUGGUUUAAUUCGAAGAUACACGAAGAACCUUACCUAGGCUUGACAUUGAUAGAAUCCGCUAGAGAUAGUGGAGUGCUAGCUUGCUAGAACUUGAAAACAGGUGCUGCACGGCUGUCGUCAGCUCGUGUCGUGAGAUGUUGGGUUAAGUCCCGCAACGAGCGCAACCCUCGUCCUUAGUUGCUAACUAUUCGGUAGAGCACUCUAAGGAGACUGCCUUCGCAAGGAGGAGGAAGGUGAGGAUGACGUCAAGUCAUCAUGGCCCUUACGCCUAGGGCUACACACGUGCUACAAUGGGAAGCACAAAGAGAUGCAAUAUUGUGAAAUGGAGCAAAUCUAUAAAACUUCUCUCAGUUCGGAUUGUAGUCUGCAACUCGACUACAUGAAGCUGGAAUCGCUAGUAAUCGUAAAUCAGCUAUGUUACGGUGAAUACGUUCCCGGG
rnacentral:rRNA from 1 species